rnacentral:rRNA from 1 species
CCUACGGGAGGCAGCAGUGAGGAAUAUUGGUCAAUGGACGAGAGUCUGAACCAGCCAAGUAGCGUGAAGGAUGACUGCCCUAUGGGUUGUAAACUUCUUUUAUAAGGGAAUAAAACGAGGCACGUGUGCCUUUUUGCAUGUACUUUAUGAAUAAGGAUCGGCUAACUCCGUGCCAGCAGCCGCGGUAAUACGGAGGAUCCGAGCGUUAUCCGGAUUUAUUGGGUUUAAAGGGAGCGUAGAUGGGUUGUUAAGUCAGUUGUGAAAGUUUGCGGCUCAACCGUAAAAUUGCAAUUGAUACUGGCAGUCGUGAGUACAGUUGAGGUAGGCGGAAUUCGUGGUGUAGCGGUGAAAUGCUUAGAGAUCACGAAGAACCCCGAUUGCGAAGGCAGCUUACUAAACUGUGACUGACACUGAUGCUCGAAAGUGUGGGUAUCAAACAGGAUUAGAUACCCGUGUAGUC